CAAGUUUUAUAUCGGCAAUCCUGACCCUGGUGUUGCAGAGGAGAAAUUGAGGUCGAUUUUCUUGCAAUUUGGUGAAAUAGUUUAUGUCAAAAUUCUUGCUGCAAAAGGAUGCGGGACAUCUGCUGAAGAAGCAAUUCAAAGGAUGCAUGGAAGUCAAAUUGGUCAAACUGUAGUCCACCUUUCUUGGGGAAAAAAGCACAACUGCUAAAUAGGUCAAAUUUAUGGAGCAAAAGCAUGAAGUUCAUCAAAGGGGUUGUUAGUGCACCAAGUAAAGGAAUGGGUAUGAAGCCAAGUACAAAUCAUAGGGCAAAUCAAUUCUUGGAAUGGCCGAAAACUGUCAAGUGCAAAGAUGUAAUGAAAUGCAAAGCUAAUGAAAUUGAUAAA